UACGGGGGGGCAAGCGUUGUUCGGAAUUACUGGGCGUAAAGGGCUCGUAGGCGGCCAACUAAGUCGGACGUGAAAUCCCUCAGCUUAACUGGGGAACUGCGUCCGAUACUGGAUGGCUUGGAUUGGGAGAGGGAUGCGGAAUUCCAGGUGUAGCGGUGAAAUGCGUAGAGAUCGGGAGGAACACCAGAGGCGAAGGCGGCGACCUGGACAAGUACUGACACUCAACUACGAAAGCGUGGGA
rnacentral:rRNA from 1 species